rnacentral:rRNA from 1 species
GACGAACGCGGGCGGCGUGCUUAACACAUGCAAGUCGAACGGAAAGGCCUGCUUUCCCUUGUGGAUUGCGGGUACUCGAGUGGCGAACGGGUGAGUAACACGUGAGUGAUCUGCCCCCAACUUGGGUAUAAGCCUGGGAAACUGGGUCUAAUUCCCGAUAGGACUGCAGGGUGGUGCCUGUGGUGGAAAACGAUUUUCUAGUGGUUGGGGAUGAGCUCGCGGCCUAUCAGCUUGUUGGUGGGGUAAUGGCCUACCAAGGCGGCGACGGGUAGCCGGCCUGGGAGGGUGGACGGCCACAUUGGGACUGAGAUACGGCCCAGACUCCUACGGGAGGCAGCAGUGGGGAAUAUUGCACAAUGGGCGGAAGCCUGAUGCAGCGACGCCGCGUGGGGGAUGACGGCCUUCGGGUUGUAAACUCCUUUCGACCGCGAGGAAGCCACCUGGUUGGAAGGGUGGUGACGGUAGUGGUAGAAGAAGCACCGGCUAACUACGUG